GAUGAACGCUGGCGGCGUGCCUAAUACAUGCAAGUCGAGCGAACAGACGAGGAGCUUGCUCCUCUGACGUUAGCGGCGGACGGGUGAGUAACACGUGGAUAACCUACCUAUAAGACUGGGAUAACUUCGGGAAACCGGAGCUAAUACCGGAUAAUAUAUUGAACCGCAUGGUUCAGUAGUGAAAGACGGUUUUGCUGUCACUUAUAGAUGGAUCCGCGCCGCAUUAGCUAGUUGGUAAGGUAACGGCUUACCAAGGCAACGAUGCGUAGCCGAUCUGAGAGGGUGAUCGGCCACACUGGAACUGAGACACGGUCCAGACUCCUACGGGAGGCAGCAGUAGGGAAUCUUCCGCAAUGGGCGAAAGCCUGACGGAGCAACGCCGCGUGAGUGAUGAAGGUCUUCGGAUCGUAAAACUCUGUUAUUAGGGAAGAACAAAUGUGUAAGUAACUAUGCACGUCUUGACGGUACCUAAUCAGAAAGCCACGGCUAACUACGUG
rnacentral:rRNA from 1 species